GGAUGAGGUGGCGGAAACUCUGACGCAGCAACGCCGCGUGAAGGAUGACGGCCCUUUGGGUUGUAAACUUCUGUAGCAGGGGAAUAGUACUCGAUUAUGUCGAGGGAGAAGGUACCCUGAAAGUAAGCCACGGCUAACUACGUGCCAGCAGCCGCGGUAAUACGUAGGUGGCAAGCGUUGUCCGGAUUUACUGGGUGUAAAGGGUGCGCAGGCGGAUUUGUAAGUCAGAAGUGAAAUCUCACGGCUCAAC
rnacentral:rRNA from 1 species